CAGGCAACACAAAGUUGGGUGGGAGGGUGAAUUGUGAGGAGGAUGCAGAUAUGCUUCAGUGCAAUGUGAACAAGUUGGAUGCACCUGCACUUUUGGACUACUUGAUUUAUCAACCAUCACAGUUCAAACAUUUGCCACUUUCCCAGACUGAUAUACUACCCUCAGCUCUGUGAAGCUUUUUCAAGGAAGAACUAGACACAAGAAAUGUUCUGGUGAAAAGCAGAGACAAAGUUUGCCAGAGUGCACCAGCAGAAGACCAUGAGGCAGCAGUUACUCACAGACUGCAACUUGCCACAAAACAGGACGUUGAUAUGUUAGAAAUCUGUCUGCAACAGCACAGAUAUAAUUGGUAGUAAACACUUCUUGUGCUCUUUUUGAUAAUGAAGAGUUGGAGUUAUGUCUAAAGAGGAUACACCGACAAGGUGUGAUUGAAUUAUAGAUUUCAUUAUUGAAUCAACAGUAAAAACAAAUGCAGGUUGUGAAGUGAAGAGCUAAUUUUACUUUUAGUCUGAGAAUAGAUGCUGAGCCUGAGCAUAAGGAACUAUGUCAUGAUGAUGUUAGAUCACAUAGAACUGGAAUCUGUGUCUGUAAAUUUUUAGGAAGAGGCUCUCAUUUACCGUACUUUGUACCUGAUUAUACUCAAUCAAGCCUGCUAAUGUUCACUCUCAAGGAUGUAGAUCUCAUCUUACUCAUGCAAGGCUACAACAAUGUGGAGUUACAUGCACCACAUGUACAUACACAGCCAUAUUUCUGAUCAACGACUACCAUUUGUGAAAAGGUUUCGGCACUUUCCAUAUGGAAUUUGACAUCUUCGCUUUCGAAGAUUACCUUCAUUCUCAGAUUGCACCUUUAAAUGAUAUCCAUCAAUGGUAAAAGAGAAAAUGUACCUUAAUAUAAAUUUUAGAAAUAUCUCUCAUAUAG